rnacentral:rRNA from 1 species
GACGAACGCUGGCGGCGUGCUUAACACAUGCAAGUCGAACGGAAAGGCCCCUUUGGUGUUACUCGCUUGGCUGACGGGUGAGUAACACGUAAGUAACCUACCCUUGCCUUCCUGUUAACUUCCGUCAACUGGGUCUAAUACCGGACAGGAAUCCUUUCUGCAUGGUUGGGGUUGGUAGGCUUCGGCGGUUGGGGAUGGACUCGCGGCUUAUCAGCUUGUUGGUGGGGUAGUGGCUUACCAAGGCUUUGACGGGUAGCCGGCCUGAGAGGGCGACCGGCCACAUUGGGACUGAGAUACGGCCCAGACUCCUACGGGAGGCAGCAGUGGGGAAUAUUGCACAAUGGGCGGAAGCCUGAUGCAGCAACGCCGCGUGCGGGAUGACGGCCUUCGGGUUGUAAACCGCUUUCGGCAGGGACGAAGCUUGUGUGACGGUAACUGCAGAAGAAGCACCGGCUAACUACGUG